rnacentral:rRNA from 1 species
CCUACGGGAGGCAGCAGUGAGGAAUAUUGGUCAAUGGACGAGAGUCUGAACCAGCCAAGUAGCGUGAAGGAUGACUGCCCUAUGGGUUGUAAACUUCUUUUAUAUGGGAAUAAAACGUUCCACGUGUGGGAUUUUGUAUGUACCAUAUGAAUAAGGAUCGGCUAACUCCGUGCCAGCAGCCGCGGUAAUACGGAGGAUCCGAGCGUUAUCCGGAGUUAUUGGGUUUAAAGGGAGCGUAGGUGGAUUGUUAAGUCAGUUGUGAAAGUUUGCGGCUCAAACGUAAAAUUGCAGUUGAAACUGGCAGUCUUGAGUACAGUAGAGGUGGGCGGAAUUCGUGGUGUAGCGGUGAAAUGCUGAGAUAUCACGAAGAACUCCGAUUGCGAAGGCAGUUCACUGGACUGCAACUGACACUGAGGCUCGAAAGUGUGGGUAUCAAACAGGAUUAGAUACCCGGGUAGUC